GACCUACAUAAGUAGAGACUUACCUAUCUGAUUAAUGAUGCCUAUUCUCCGAAACCUCAACGAGUUGUAUCUGUAGUGAUAACAUUGCGCAAUAGUGCUGCAAUAUGUGUAAUUAUUGUUCAAUAAUUGCACAAAUUGUGUAAACAUUGCGUAAUAGAUAAGAGUACAAUAUGUGUGCCACCGUACCUAUAUAAAAACAGAUAUUGCAGAACGGUCCUCAUUCGUAGUGGAAUAGUCAGACACGAGUGCAAGUAAGAUUUGUGAUUUAAUAUAUCAAUUUCAAAAACUAAACGAACCAGUUCAGUUUUUGUGUUACAGAAGCUGAAAUUGCUGAAACGCUGAAACAUGGAGGCAGCGAUCGUCGUUGAAGUGCAAUCCAGUGCUGAGGCUCAAGGAGGGAAGAUCCCGUGGCCGUUCCAGGGGAAGAUCCCGUGACCGUUCCAGGGGAAGAUCCCGUGGUCGUUCCAGGGGAAGAUCCCGUGGUCGUUCCAGGGGAAGAUCCCGUGACCGUUCCAGGGGAAGAUCUCGUG